rnacentral:tmRNA from 1 species
GGGGGCGAUUAGGAUUCGACGACGGUAUCGAAGCUUGAGGUGCAUGUCGAGGACGUAGUGGUUCUCGUAAAUCAAAACACUACAAACCUUUAGUUGCCAAAUCAAGCAACAACCUCGUGGCAGCCAAUAGCGAUUCAUUCGCUAUGGCCGCUUAAUCUACUACUAACCUAGUAGACACGACAAUCCACCUGGCUCGCCUGCUGGCUGGAUUUUUGGAUUGUCAUCGCAAGCAGGCUCGUUACGUUCAGUAUUUCUGUGGCUGACGGACUAAAACUUACAGGAUCGCUCUGUUAAACCACGACCGCUGGGUCGUAAUGGAGUUAAAUUAAAGGCGGAUCUAAGCAUGUAGAGCCAAUAGUGUAGAACUGGCGGACGCGGGUUCAAAUCCCGCCGCCUCCACCA